CGAUUAUAUAACAUUGAAACACCGGUUUCCAUACGAUCACCGACGUUAAGCAAUGCCGAGCGUGGUCAGUACCGAGAUGAGUGACCGUUUGUGAAUACCAGGUGUU